AUUGAACGCUGGCGGAAUGCUUUACACAUGCAAGUCGAACGGUAGAGGGGGCAACCCCUUGAGAGUGGGCGAACGGGUGAGUAAUAUAUCGGAACGUGCCCAGUCGUGGGGAUAACGUAGCGAAAGUUACGCUAAUACCGCAUACGAUCUAAGGAUGAAAGCGGGGGAUCGCAAGACCUCGCGCGAUUGGAGCGGCCGAUAUCAGAUUAGGUAGUUGGUGAGGUAAAGGCUCACCAAGCCAACGAUCUGUAGCUGGUCUGAGAGGACGACUAGCCACACUGGAACUGAGACACGGUCCAGACUCCUACGGGAGGCAGCAGUGGGGAAUUUUGGACAAUGGGCGCAAGCCUGAUCCAGCAAUGCCGCGUGCAGGAUGAAGGCCUUCGGUUGUAACU
rnacentral:rRNA from 1 species